UGACCCACACACCAAAGUUCCUCAAGAUUGAAAUAUUCCAACCCUUCAAUACCCAGCCAAGAAGUACACAUUUAAGAAAGAAAAAAUAGUGAUAGUUCGAACUCAAUAGAAAACUGGCCAAAUAUCAAUGACUAGGAUCUGGCAAUCUUGGCUUCUUUUUUUUUUUUUUUUUUUGAGUGCAUCACAUCAACAAUUUAAACCACUGAACCAUGUAGUUUGGCAUGCUCAAAACUUGUGGCAGUGACAGAUGUUGAUAAGCCUUCAUACUUCUUUGUCAUUUUACGUCUGCUUAUUUAUAACAUGUGGGCUUUUCUCUAGAUUGGUCAUAACAUGUUCUAGUAGAGGAACCUAGUUCAAAUGAUGCUGGUUCUUUAGUUCUCAUUUUUGGUCCCUUAGUUAUUGGACCUUAUCAUAAAAGCUACCUUCUCCUAUGGUCCAUCUGCUUUGUAUUAUUUCCUGUCAGAGGAGGAAAUGGAGAUCCUUCUACUAGAAACUGCAGAUUUUACUGUAGAUUUCACUGGCGCAAAGCUGCAAAAUAUAUUUUAGUUACUUCCUAAUGAAUUGUUUCUAUUUUCCCAUUAGGAGAUUUUUUUAAAACCAUCUUGCAACUGAUUGGUAGGAAUGAACCUGGAAUUUUAACUGCUAGAAAGGAUUUAGACUACAUUGGAUGAGAAGAACUGUUGGAAGCCUUGAAGAGGCAAAAGGGUACGUUUGAAACCGGUCAAGAAGAUAGUACUGAAAUUCUGGAGGAGUUAAAGCUGAGGUUGGCAUACAGGGAAGCAGCUGUGGCUGUUCUUGCAUGCUACAAUCCAAAUCCUCACCGUCCUUUCACUGAGACUAAUAUUCGUUCCAUUCCCAGCAAGCCAAAUAUGCGUUAUGUUGAGACUACUGGAAGGUUUUUUUGAGAAAGUUAGAUUAUGUAGAAUCUAUAGUCCGUGCAUGUGCCCAGUUUUUCAGCGGUACUGGGUCCGAAUGGAAGUGGUAAAAGCAACGUCAUAGAUGCAAUGCUCUUUGUAUUUGGGAAACGAGCUAAGCAGGUAAGCUCCAUUUAUAUGUGGGAAUCUAAUCUGGGUCAUAGAUGCAAUGCUCUUUAUAUUGAUUUGUUGCAAAACUUUCGUAAUUCCUUGUGACAUUUUUAAAUUUUAAUGUUAUCCAUGUCAUUGAUAUAAGAAUGUGAACCUUUCAUCCACGACUAAAGUUUUUCCUUUAUAUAGCAAUAUCUCAACCCUUUGAACAAUGACUCUUUUACAUUUAGUCUCUAUUUUUUUUUUUUCUUUUUGUUGAUUGUCCUAUUGAUGAUCGAUUGCAAGUAAUAUAUAGCCAAUGGUCCUGCGUGCAAUGGGAAGAAGUCCGCUGUUAUUUUUUAAUGGAGAAGAGCAGUAAUAUUGGUCUUCAUUUUUUGAAUUGGUA